rnacentral:rRNA from 1 species
UAGGGAAUCUUCCGCAAUGGACGCAAGUCUGACGGAGCAACGCCGCGUGAGUGAAGAAGGUCUUCGGAUCGUAAAACUCUGUUGUUAGAGAAGAACAAGUGCUAGAGUAACUGUUAGCGCCUUGACGGUAUCUAACCAGAAAGCCACGGCUAACUACGUGCCAGCAGCCGCGGUAAUACGUAGGUGGCAAGCGUUGUCCGGAUUUAUUGGGCGUAAAGCGAGCGCAGGCGGUUCCUUAAGUCUGAUGUGAAAGCCCCCGGCUCAACCGGGGAGGGUCAUUGGAAACUGGGGAACUUGAGUGCAGAAGAGGAGAGUGGAAUUCCAUGUGUAGCGGUGAAAUGCGUAGAUAUAUGGAGGAACACCAGUGGCGAAGGCGACUCUCUGGUCUGUAACUGACGCUGAGGCUCGAAAGCGUGGGUAGCAAACAGGAUUAGAUACCCUGGUAGUCCACGCCGUAAACGAUGAGUGCUAAGUGUUGGAGGGUUUCCGCCCUUCAGUGCUGCAGUUAACGCAUUAAGCACUCCGCCUGGGGAGUACGACCGCAAGGUUG